rnacentral:lncRNA from 10 species
CAGUCAUAAAGUGGUCCAUAGCCUCUAACAACACAGUGGUGAGGCAUGCAUUGCUCCCUGGAAAUCAAGUGCACUGCACUAUAUAUUGACUUCCGACAAUGAAAGUAUUUGGAGAAGGGCUCAGACAGUGUCACAAGCCUCAAGCAGUGCAGGCUAGAACUCACAGGCAAAAGAACGGGCAGAAUACAUGGAGACCCCAGCCUGCAGACCCUCGGCAUCACAUAGAGAGGUGUACUUGGGCCAGGUUUGUACUCUAGGAGAGGAAUGCCUCUGUAGUCUCUGUUGCUUUCUUUGCAUAUGGGGUUGGGGAAGGCAGGCAAUGUGACAAUAGGGCUUUUACAUACAUAAAAGUGGUGUUGCCAGUGGAGACCA